CCCCUCUCAGGAUCACACCUGGAGAGUUUCCAGUACUCUAUCAGUCUGGGCUAUGGGAGGGAGAGUCAAGCAGAGCCCUUCCCAUUCCAUUCCCAGCUUGGCCAGUGUCUGGUGACUGGAAGGCAAUCUGCUACAAGU